rnacentral:rRNA from 1 species
UACGUAGGGGGCAAGCGUUGUCCGGAUUUAUUGGGCGUAAAGAGCGUGUAGGCGGCCAGGCAGGUCUGCUGUGAAAACUCGAGGCUUAACCUCGAGCUGUCGGCGGAAACCAUCUGGCUAGAGUCCGGAAGAGGAGAAUGGAAUUCCCGGUGUAGCGGUGAAAUGCGCAGAUAUCGGGAAGAACACCCGUGGCGAAGGCGGUUCUCUAGUACGGUACUGACGCUGAGACGCGAAAGCGUGGGGAGCGAACAGG